rnacentral:rRNA from 1 species
UGGGGAAUCUUGCACAAUGGGGGAAACCCUGAUGCAGCGACGCCGCGUGAGCGAUGAAGCCCUUCGGGGUGUAAAGCUCUUUCGGCAGGAACGAUCAUGACGGUACCUGCAGAAGAAGCUGCGGCUAACUACGUGCCAGCAGCCGCGGUAAUACGUAGGCAGCGAGCGUUGUUCGGAGUUACUGGGCGUAAAGAGUAUGUAGGCGGUUCUCCAAGUCUGGUGUGAAAUCUCCCGGCUCAACCGGGAGGGUGCAUUGGAAACUGGGGGGCUGGAGUGCGGGAGAGGGAAGCGGAAUUCCUGGUGUAGCGGUGAAAUGCGUAGAUAUCAGGAGGAACACCCGCGGUGUAGACGGCUUCCUGGACCGUAACUGACGCUGAGAUACGAAAGCGUGGGGAGCAAACAGGAUUAGAGACCCUGGUAG